AUUUUUGAACAUUACUGAAGCUCAAAACAAUCUUAAGCAGGUGAAUCAUGGGGCUCCAGUUUUUGAAUAUAAUGUAACUCUGACACAUUGGGGCUUUUAAACUCUUUCUGAUGUUGGUUGCUUGCAGCUGAAAUGUGCAACUGUA